ensembl:lncRNA
AUGGUGACCAAGAUGUCGGAGGGCGAGCGGCCAUUCGAAAACGCACAGGACGACGGCAAUGAUGACGGAGAUGAUGUGCUUAGCAUGGAGGAGGAGCUGUGCUUAAGACUUGACACUAUGAGGGACUUUUUCCUCCAGCAGCUGAAGGCCAUAAGAUACUCGCUGUUUUCAUCUCAGACCAAGGUGCACAAGGAUUUAAAAGCCUUCAAGGAGUCCAUCUUGACGGAGGAGCUGAAUUUCUACAGAGAGAGGCUAGAGGCAAAGGUAACAUCUGACUUCCAGCUGCUGGAGGAAAACUGCAAUUCUGCUAAACGUGAUGUUGUUGAAAUGGUGAAGGCCGUUGGGGAAUCUGUGACCAAGAGGAUGGAUGCGGUGGACAGGAUAUUCCUGGCUUCGAGGAUCACUGCAAUGGAAGCGGAGGUCCGCAACACGGUGCCUUCUUUUGAAGCGAGCACGCCGACACGCCGUGCUCAUGGCCUUUUGAGCAGAGCUGAAGCACUUUCCUCCACCCAGGUGACAGAUGUGGGACAAGACACGGAGAUCUUCCUGGACCUUCAGAGUGUGGCUUCUUCAUCUCCGAUCAGCCCUGGUCAGCGUGCGGUGUUGACCACAGCAACGUCCUUUGAAUCCAGCUCUGACCAGAACCCAGAACGAGAUGAAGCACUUUCCUCCACCCAGGUGACAGAUGUGGGACGCGACACUGAGAUCUUCCUGGACCUUCAGAGUGCGGCCUCUCCGUCUCAGAUUGGCCCGAGUCAGCUUGCGGUGUUGACCACAACAACGUCCUUUGAAUCCAGCUCUGACCAGAACCCAGAACGAGAUGAAGCACUUUCCUCCACCCAGGUGACAGAUGUGGGACGUUCCCACUCUUUAAUUAGUCUAGGGGAAUGGAGGAAUACGUAACAAAGAAAAGGAAAAUCCACAUGGAGCCUCUCAUCCCAGUCCCAGCUCUGAAGAACACUGCCAACCACUAAAGGAUCCACUAUAAUUUGAUUUAUUAUAUUUCUUUAACACAUGCAGGAGUAGCAAGAACAAAGCAAACAGGCUUCAGGAGGGGGCAUAGCCAAAAUAACAAACAAAACAGCAGCUUACUCCAUUUUGAAACUAACUUACCUAGCACAGGGACAAAAAUAAAUAACAAAAAAAGACAAUAUACUUCCUUAACUACCUAACUUUUCCAAAAAACAGGAGAAAAGGAGUUAAAAGAAAUAGGCACCCUCCUCCCUACAAGUUAUAAAGUAGACAACUUAAAUAUUGAAGACAGGACUACAGAAGUAUUAGCAAUAUUGAGUGGAGUCCAACAGUUUAAGUGGGGGCAGCAAAGCAACAGUACACAAACUGAAACUCUAGCACAAAAUUGGCAUUAGGCAUCAACUAACAACAGUACCAAAACCACAACACUAGUCUGGGGCUGCAGAGAGGGUCCAUGCAGGGAGAGGGAGAUGGCUCAAACUUUCUCCUUUCCUCUCUCCCCCAACUGUGCUUUCUUGGUGGCUUUUAUAGCUGGUUCCUCUCUGGAGGAGCCAGUGAAUGAGUUGAUUGGUCAUCACGAGUAUCAGGUGUCAGUAAUCAGCUCCUAUCAGCACAGCACAGGAGAGAAAAGACGACUGAGAACAAACAAGCUCUUGACUGACCCCAGAACAGUACAAACUACGUCACAGGACGUAACACACGGAGAUCUUCCUGGACCUUCAGAGUGCGGCCUCUCCGUCUCAGAUUGGCCCGAGUCAGCUUGCGGUGUUGACCACAACAACGUCCUUUGAAUCCAGCUCUGACCAGAACCCAGAACGAGAUGAAGCACUUUCCUCCACCCAGGUUUCGGAUGUGGGACGCGACAUGGAGAUCUCCCUGGACCUUCAGAGUUUACCUCUCGCCCAGGCCGGUUCCUCGGGACUUCAGAGACAGCCCCCCACUAUGCACAAGCGCAAGCUGGCCCAGUCUCCAGACGAUCUGGAACCUGAACUUUCUGCCAAAAUAAGGCCCUACAUGAGACUGAGGCACACACGACAAGAGAAACUUACAGGACUCCAGGCUGCAUUCUUCAAUCUCCAAAUGGACAGGCUGAACAUUAAUGGUAUGUUUACAUUUUCCUUUCCCUUGUACGCUGAGGCUAAAUGUAUACAUAUUUGGGUGUUAACCUGUUUGUUUGAAUAUUUAUUUUUCUUUUUUAUCCAGACACCAAGAGCCUCGCAGACAAGGCAGAAGUCAUAAAAGGAGCUGGUGAGAGACCAAGACCAAGAAUCAAGGAUCUUCAGGCGUACCUCGAAGAGAGAAUCAAGACUACUUUGAAGAGGAGAAGUAGUGAGCUUCUUGUGGAGAAAAUAAAAAAAUAAAUAAACGAACGUUACUAAAGCUAGUGUCCGAGCGUCAAUAACACGUAACACCCUGACAUUUUAGUACUGAAGUUUUCAUUUAUGAGUACAUUUACAUAAUAUACAUAAUUUUUGCACACUAAUAAGUGUUUGUCGUUGUUGUUGUUAAGUAUUGUAUUUUAAUAAACAUAUGUUCAAGUUUGCUUUUGUCAGUAGUCAUUUUACCCAUUUUGAUAUUAAUAAUUUAUUUCUGAGAUAAGCUAGGUAUUAAAUGGUAUCAAAGUUGGAUGUGUAAAUAGUGUGAGUAUUUUGAAUGUUUUUCUUCUUUGUGUAGGUACUACAUUUAAAUCAGAACGUACUUCACAACCGUUAAAAAAGUAUAUUCUAUAUAGUAUGAAUACAGGUAGAAAAAAAAAUACGAAAACAAACACACACACACCUGGGAACAAUGACAGAUGUUGAUUUUUGGUAAGGAAAAAGUAAUUUAUUUGCUUGUAAUACCAUCAAUGAAUAAUUAUAAAUGAAUC